rnacentral:rRNA from 1 species
UACAGAGGGUGCAAGCGUUAAUCGGAAUUACUGGGCGUAAAGCGCACGCAGGCGGUUGGUUAAGUUGGAUGUGAAAGCCCCGGGCUCAACCUGGGAAUUGCAUUUGAAACUGGCCAACUAGAGUGUGUGAGAGGGGGGUAGAAUUCCAAGUGUAGCGGUGAAAUGCGUAGAGAUUUGGAGGAAUACCAGUGGCGAAGGCGGCCCCCUGGCACAACACUGACGCUCAGGUGCGAAAGCGUGGGGAGCAAACAGG